GACACACUCUUCCUAUGUCUAACUAAUUCAAGUACCCAUUUUUCAUUAGUUUUGACUUGCAGGUUAUCUAAAUGGACUCCCCACAGGGAACAGCAGUCACACUGCAAAAAGAUUUAUUUUUGGGGUUUUUGCCAUUUGGUAACUGGACUAACAAACAGAUUUUAUGUUUUAUUGAAAUAAUUCCUACAUCAUUAUUAAGUUUUGAUUUGCUUAGGAAAACUGAGAUUAAUUUUGUUUUUAAUUAAGGCUAUUACCUACAUGUAACUUUCUGUAUUACUUUUAAAAUCCUUGUGCUAUUGAGUUCUAUAGAUUAAACAUUAAUAAUCAAAGAAACACCGAUGCAAGACCAGCAUCUGGGCCCCUGUGUCAGAUUGACAAGGUUUUUCUUGGAGCAUUAACCUACUCUUUAAAAAAUUAGAAAAAGUUAUAAAAAGGUUUAGGGAAGUUAAAUCUUAUGGUCAAGAUGAUUAAAAUUUAAUAGAUUUGUUUAUAAGACUUCAGGCAGAUUUAAUUGGCCUCAUGCUUUCUUUAUUAGUACUUAUUGUUUGGGAAAUUCUUUAAAAAAAAUAUUUCAGUUAUCACUUUGGCUGAAUGAAUGACUUAUUUUACAAUUUCCUGUGAUCCCAUUUAUGAUAUCAAGUGUCAAAAUCAAGUUCUAAAUUCAGUCCUUUGACCUUUUAAUUUUUUGAUAUUUUCUCAUCUUUCCUCUGCUUCCUUUCUCUGUCCUUCACCUAUUUUUUCUUUGUAGAAUAUAAGACUUCAUAACUGGCUAAAAAUGAGUUUUCCUAACAACGUGGGACCUUACCCCUCUAGGAAUGGGCCAUCCCAAUCGUGAGAGAUCAGACAAAUCCUGAGAUCAGAGACUCAUUUUCUUCUAAAAUGCAUUUUCUGAAAGAGUUUAAAAGAAAAAAUAGGGAGGUUUGGUCCAAUGGUAGUGGGUUAUCAGAACUUAUUAACACUAGUGUCACUAAAGUUGGUAUAUGACCCCCCCACUGCUAAAUUUGACUGGCUUUUUAAAAAGUGGCGGUGAGAAUUGUGAAAAGAAAAUAAAUUUACUAUGCCAAAGGAAAAAUAUUAAGCUGAAAGCUGAGUCAUGCAAGCAACUACCUUUCCUUUUGUUCCUAAGUAGAUAACUACAGAUAAAAGGUUAAAUAUUUCCACAGGUAGCUACUUUAUGUUCAUCUUAUCUUAUGUAACGUGUCAAUUUACUGAGUGUGACACCAAUACAUAAUUGACUAUUCCCUUGCUUGCUCCUUUUCUCUUGCAAUAUGUGGAUUACCAUACUCUCCCUCUUUCCUCUCUAUCCCACUUUUCUCCUUUAAAUGUUGAAGCCCUGAAAGUCAUCUUUGGAGAAAGGCACAGACUUGUUUCCCAAGCACAUCAUUCACCUUGGCAAAAUAAGCUUCUAAAUUCAUUGAGAGCUUUAUCAGAUACUUUUUCGUUCAUACUUGCUCUU
rnacentral:lncRNA from 1 species